AUAGCACAGUGGCAGUGCGCCUGACUUGUAAUCAGGCGGUCUCCGGUUCAAUCCCGG
rnacentral:tRNA from 1 species